AUGUAUGUGUUGCAAUUUAGCAUCCUCCUCUUAGGAAUUUUAUAUUUGAGAAAUUUCUAGUGAGUGAGGAUGUUAAUUUUUGGCACAAAUCA